rnacentral:rRNA from 1 species
AUUGAACGCUGGCGGCAGGCCUAACACAUGCAAGUCGAACGAGUGGCGGACGGGUGAGUAAUGGCUGGGAAACUGCCUGAUGGAGGGGGAUAACUAGUGGAAACGGUAGCUAAUACCGCACACCAUCAGAUGUGCCCCGAUGGCAGUAGCUUGUGGGUGGGGUAACGGCUCACCAAGGCGACGAUCCCUAGCUGGGCUGAGAGGAUGAGCAGCCACACUGGAACUGAGACACGGCCCAGACUCCUACGGGAGGCAGCAGUAGGGAAUAUUGCACAAUGGGCGCAAGCCUGAUGCAGCCACGCCGCGUGUGUGAAGAAGGCUUUCGGGUCGUAAAGCACUUUCAGUGGGGAGGCGUUACCCGCAGAAGAAGCACCGGCUAACUCCGUGCCAGCAGCCGCGGUAAUUC